rnacentral:rRNA from 1 species
UGGUCUUGACAUACACGGAACUUUCCAGAGAUGGAUUGGUGCCUUCGGGAACCGUGAUACAGGUGCUGCAUGGCUGUCGUCAGCUCGUGUCGUGAGAUGUUGGGUUAAGUCCCGCAACGAGCGCAACCCUUGUCUCUAGUUACCAGCGAGUAAUGUCGGGGACUCUAGAGAGACUGCCGGUGACAAACUGGAGGAAGGUGGGGAUGACGUCAAGUCCUCAUGGCCCUUACAUCCCGGGCUACACACGUGCUACAAUGGCCGGUACAACGAGUCGCAAUACCGCGAGGUGGAGCUAAUCUCUUAAAACCGGUCUCAGUUCGGAUUGCAGUCUGCAACUCGACUGCAUGAAGCCGGAAUCGCUAGUAAUCGUAAAUCAGCUAUGUUACGGUGAAUACGUUCCCGGGUCU